AAUAUAUCGGGUAAGAUUCUGUAUAAAUUAAAAUUAUUUGUUGAUCUAUGACAGACAUACGUGUGUCAGGACUCAGUCAGCAGGGCUGUGCAGCUCCCUGCCAGUCCUGCUAUUUUUCCUUCACAGGUGUUCGUGGUUGACUGGUGGGCGGAGACGCACACCUGCGACUCAUCCAGCAGCACCCGAGUGGACUACAAGAACAGCGUUCGAACAGCGAGAGGACGCCAGAGUGUUUUCGUUGCGGUUACCUUCUCGAGCUCCAAGAUCCCCUUCGUGACUCUCCAGUUCCUCCGACCUCCUUCCGAGUCGAAACCGCUCUUCUGGAUCCAAGGCUCACUCCAACGUCCUCCGGUUCCUCUCGCUGUUCUGGAUCUCGGUACCCACGGUGCUGCUCGGACCUCCUCGCCCCGCUCACCGGCGACCCGGACAUCUGCCAUCAACAUCUAAGCUGAGUCCACACGCACACCAACCUCCCCGGCCGUGUUCUCUCGCACCUCGUGAUCGAUCCGGUUCCCUGGUCCCGAGCCCGUCCGAGCCGUCUCCUCGUUCCGCAGAUAGUUCUGCCGUCUGUACCCACCUGAGUCAAUAAA